rnacentral:sRNA from 1 species
UGAUAUUUCUAUCUUUUUGAAAGAAUACGGGCAUAAAAAUAUCA